rnacentral:rRNA from 1 species
GGAUUGCCUCAGUAACGGCGAGUGAAGCGGCAAGAGCUCAGAUUUGAAAUCUGGCCCCGUGUCGGGGUCCGAGUUGUAGUCUGUAGAGGAUGCUUUGGGGGCGAACCGGGUCUAAGUCCCUUGGAACAGGGCGUCAGAGAGGGUGAGAGUCCCGUCUGUGGCCCGGCCCUCGCCCCCGGGUGAAGCUCCCUCGACGAGUCGAGUUGUUUGGGAAUGCAGCUCCAACCGGGUGGUAAAUCUCAUCUAAAGCUAAAUACCGGCCAGAGACCGAUAGCGCACAAGUAGAGUGAUCGAAAGAUGAAAAGCACUUUGGAAAGAGGGUUAAACAGCACGUGAAAUUGUUGAAAGGGAAGCGCUUGCGAUCAGACUUGCCCGCGGUCCCUCAGUCGGUGGUACCCUCCGCCGACGCACUGGGCCAUGGGCAGGCCAGCAUCGGUUUGGGCGGUGGGAGAAGGCACCCGGGAAUGUGGCUCCCUUCGGGGUGCGUUAUAGCCUGGGGUGACACGCCGCCGCUCGGACCGAGGCCCGCGCUCCGGCAAGGAUGCUGGCGUAAUGGUCGUCAGCGACCCGUCUUGAAACACGGACCAAGGAGUCUAACGUCCACGCGAGUGUUUGGGCGUCAAACCCCGACGCGCAAUGAAAGUGAACGGAGGUGGGAACCCGCAAGGGUGCACCAUCGACCGAUCCUGAAGUCUUCGGAUGGAUUUGAGUACGAGCGUGGCCGUUGGGACCCGAAAGAUGGUGAUCUAUGCCUGAAUAGGGUGAAGCCAGAGGAAACUCUGGUGGAGGCUCGCAGCGGUUCUGACGUGCAAAUCGAUCGUCGAAUUUGGGUAUAGGGGCGAAAGACCAAUCGAACCAUUGUUGAGAGCUUCGCUGCUAGGUGGUUGAGAGGUGGCCCUAAGAAGCCGCCUAGUCCCCGAUCAACCGGGGGCAACACUGCCAAAUUGCGGGGACACCCUGAGAGCUCAUGCAACCGUGGCCCUACCGAAACGGUAGACCGGCCUCACCUGGGUAACGCCCACGGGUACAGGUAACAUCGCAUGAGAUUGGGCAAUCCGCAGCGUAAUCCUACGGGUCCGACGUGACCCACGGAACACGUUCACAGACUAGAUGGUAGUGGGUGGGCCUGGACCGCAGUCACGGGCGCCGCUUAAGAUAUAGUCGGACCACCGGGAGACCGGUCGGGUGGGUCGGUGACCCUCCUGGGGGACCCUGCGAG